GUAGCACUAGCACCACAUCUCGUCUCUUCGUUCCUCACGCAGUGGCCCACGAGUCCUUGGUGCAGCAGGUGCACAGGAUACGUUCUCCCCCCUCUCCGGUCCGCAGCGCAGGGCCGCCGAUCUCCUCGUCUUUCAGGAAACGGUGCUGCCUCCGGCCCCACGGGAUGGCCUCCGGAACCUCGGCAGGUCGCGAGCCGUACGACGAGGAGGCCGCGAGCCGCCGCCCGCUCGAGCUCGGCAUCCGCGACUCCGCCCCCGCUUCCGCCUCCGACCACCGGUCUGGAAAUAUUGUGCCUAGAUAUCAGGUGGGAUGUACUAAAGCUGAUACAAGUAAGAGAUACUUGGAGGGAUGGCAUAAGAAGCAAUCUAGUACAGAUGAUGUACGGAAGAGCAAGUCAGGAUACUUCACGGCAUUCGGGGUGGACCUAUCUCCUGAUAAUAUGGCAGUUGCCAUUGUAUAUUUUGUGCAAGGGGUCUUAGGCCUUGCACGACUUGCUGUGAGCUUUUACUUAAAAGACGAUCUUCACCUUGAUCCAGCUGAGACUGCAGUUAUAUCUGGCUUCUCAUCCUUGCCCUGGUUGAUCAAGCCAAUCUAUGGCUUUAUCAGUGAUUCUAUUCCACUAUAUGGGUAUCGAAGAAGAUCAUAUCUUAUUCUGUCAGGAUUUCUUGGAACACUUUCAUGGAGUUUGAUGGCUACAGUAGUGAACAGUAAAUAUGGUGCAGGAUUCUCUAUUCUUCUUGGAUCACUUUCUGUUGCCUUCUCAGAUGUUGUCGUAGAUUCUAUGGUAGUUGAGAGAGCUCGUGGCGAAUCACAAAGUACAUCUGGAUCUCUCCAGUCUCUAUGUUGGGGGUCCUCGGCAUUUGGUGGAAUUGUGAGCGCAUAUUUCAGUGGUUCGCUUGUGGAUGCAUAUGGAGUAAGAUUUGUCUUUGGUAUUACGGCAUUUUUACCAUUGAUGACAUCUGCUGUUGCAGUUCUUGUAAAUGAACAUCGCCUGACUCCUGGAGAACAUGCUAUGUCAGUCUCUGGUUCAGGAUUCAUUGAGAGCUCAAUACAGCACAUCAAGCAGCUAUGGACUUCUGUAAAGCAACCUAACAUUUUCUUGCCGACCUUGUUUAUAUUCCUCUGGCAAGCAACACCACACUCAGAGUCAGCCAUGUUUUUCUUCAUGUAUGUAUCAGGUUGCCACAAUUUCACACAAGUCUGCAAUUACAGUAUCUCUGAUGGCGUACAUGGUUAUUGUUUACUGUUGUGUGGGAGCUAGUUUUAAAUGCAGUGCAGUAGUUCUAUGAAAUAUAAAUUACAACUGGUUACUGGAUCCUUCCUCUAGCUCAUCCUUAAUUGUAUCAAUUUGAUUUCAUAGGUUUGACGUUUGAGGUACAACAAAACAUCAACUAGAGAAAUUGCCACAAGAUAUUGAUGAUCGUAGUUAAGCUCUACAUUGUUAUAUCCAGGUUGCGUUGUAGCAGCUGGUUAGCGUAUGCAUAACUUUCCAUUAUGUAUUUCAAAAUGUAUGAUUACUGUUUAACUUUGUAAUGUUUCUUAGUUGAUUGAACUUUCAUGCUCCCUUAUUGUUGAUCUCAGCACAAAUAAGCUUGGAUUCACUCCAGAGUUUCUAGGACGUGUAAAACUCGUUACUUCCAUUGCAUCCUUGCUCGGUGUUGGAAUUUAUAACUACUUUCUGAAGGCAGUUCAUCUGAGGAAAAUAUUUCUUGUGACAACCAUCAUAGGUUCAGCCCUUGGAAUGACACAGGUUCUUCUUGUCACUGGGCUUAAUAGGCAGUUUGGGAUCAGUGAUGAGUGGUUCUCCAUUGGAGAUUCGUUAAUCAUCACGGUCCUUGGCCAGGCUGCAUUUAUGCCAGUUUUGGUGUUAGCUGCAAAAUUGUGCCCUCCAGGAAUGGAGGCGACUUUGUUUGCCACUUUGAUGUCCAUUUCUAAUGCUGGAAGUGUUACUGGUGGUCUUGUCGGUGCUGGUCUAACAAAGAUUUUUGGAGUCACUAGGGAAAGCUUCGGAAAUCUACCUCUGUUGAUUAUUGUAUGCAAUCUCAGUUCCUUGCUGCCCUUGCCUCUUCUAGGUCUCCUUCCAGACGAAACAGGAGAUUCAGAUAAUGAAGAAACAAAACACAGCUGACUGAGGUUGUCUUUUAAUGCGUUCAAAUUCUCAAGUAUAGUAUGGCUUAGCCCCAUUUCAACUGAGGUAAUAGACAUGGCUGUUCCCCAGUACUAGUUCAGCAAAUCAGCAGGGAAAUAUGAUAUACUACAGUUUUCACUGCUGUCAUGAAAACACCAAGAUCAAUCAUCUUGAUUUGGUUAUCAGAAAAUGGAACCCGAUGCUAUGGAGCAGAGGCAUGGCUUCAUCCGGUUCCAUGACGAGGCCCCUGUGUGCUAACCGUGAAGACAUGUCGAACAAGUGGGGUGCCGCCAAGUUGAACAAGGUGAAGGAGAAGAACAUGAAAACUCCAUCAUGUUGGUGUGGAGAUGUUUGCAAAGUGAAGGUAUCCACUGACCGCAAGAAGUCAUGGACUGAAGGAAGAAGAUUUUUGUGUGUGUCCCAACUAUGCACAUGA
rnacentral:rRNA from 1 species